rnacentral:misc_RNA from 1 species
GUGGCCGCUUUGUGCGCGGCAAAGUCCGUCCAAUUCCUCUUUGUGCCACGAUGCGUCUCUACCUCGUCCUGUAUUUUUCUUCUGUGCGCGAGUUUCCGCGGAAUCGAUGUCCUGGUUGUGCACGCCUAGAGUUCGACCGUUCUUCUGGGAAAGCAGGAUGGUGAAAAAAAAUGGCAAAUUUCUGGGCCUUCGGGCGUCUAAAAUUCCAACGGGGCAUCGUUCUCUCCAUCAAAAUGAUUUACGGCAGCACCCUACAUCGUACAUAUGGAGUAACGAGAUCGCGACGAGGUCGUGAGCAUGUCGAGGGGCACGCACGCUGCAAAAGAAACGGGACAAAGAAGCGGCGCGCGUAAAAGCGAUUUACGAUCGUGCCCAGCCGUCGCUGGAAAAAGCUGUCUGCUGCUUUCGACCAAGUUAACCGGCUGCAAACUCACGCGUCCCGGC